AUGAACGCUGGCGGCGCGCCUAACACAUGCAAGUCGAACGGCACCCCUCUCCGGAGGGAAGCGAGUGGCGAACGGCUGAGUAACACGUGGAGAACCUGCCCCCUCCCCCGGGAUAGCCGCCCGAAAGGACGGGUAAUACCGGAUAACCCCGGGCGCCGCAUGGCGCCCGGGCUAAAGCCCCGACGGGAGGGGAUGGCUCCGCGGCCCAUCAGGUAGACGGCGGGGUGACGGCCCACCGUGCCGACAACGGGUAGCCGGGUUGAGAGACCGACCGGCCAGAUUGGGACUGAGACACGGCCCAGACUCCUACGGGAGGCAGCAGUGGGGAAUCUUGCGCAAUGGGGGGAACCCUGACGCAGCGACGCCGCGUGCGGGACGGAGGCCUUCGGGUCGUAAACCGCUUUCAGCAGGGAAGAGUCAAGACUGUACCUGCAGAAGAAGCCCCGGCUAACUACGUGCCAGCAGCCGCGGUAAUACGUAGGGGGCGAGCGUUAUCCGGAUUCAUUGGGCGUAAAGCGCGCGUAGGCGGCCCGGCAGGCCGGGGGUCGAAGCGGGGGGCUCAACCCCCCGAAGCCCCCGGAACCUCCGCGGCUUGGGUCCGGUAGGGGAGGGUGGAACACCCGGUGUAGCGGUGGAAUGCGCAGAUAUCGGGUGGAACACCGGUGGCGAAGGCGGCCCUCUGGGCCGAGACCGACGCUGAGGCGCGAAAGCUGGGGGAGCGAACAGGAUUAGAUACCCUGGUAGUCCACGCCGUAAACGAUGAGUGCUAGGUGUUGGAUCCUUUCCGGGAUUCAGUGCCGCAGCUAACGCAUUAAGCACUCCGCCUGGGGAGUACGACCGCAAGGUUGAAACUCAAAGGAAUUGACGGGGGCCCGCACAAGCGGUGGAGCAUGUGGUUUAAUUCGAAGCAACGCGAAGAACCUUACCAGGGCUUGACAUAUACAGGAAUAUGUUAGAGAUAGCAUAGCUCUUCGGAGUCUGUAUACAGGUGGUGCAUGGUUGUCGUCAGCUCGUGUCGUGAGAUGUUGGGUUAAGUCCCGCAACGAGCGCAACCCCCGCCGCGUGUUGCCAUCGGGUGAUGCCGGGAACCCACGCGGGACCGCCGCCGUCAAGGCGGAGGAGGGCGGGGACGACGUCAAGUCAUCAUGCCCCUUAUGCCCUGGGCUGCACACGUGCUACAAUGGCCGGUACAGAGGGAUGCCACCCCGCGAGGGGGAGCGGAUCCCGGAAAGCCGGCCCCAGUUCGGAUUGGGGGCUGCAACCCGCCCCCAUGAAGUCGGAGUUGCUAGUAAUCGCGGAUCAGCAUGCCGCGGUGAAUGCGUUCCCGGGCCUUGUACACACCGCCCGUCACACCACGAGAGUUUGUAACACCCGAAGCCGGUGGAGUAACCAUUUGGAGCUAGCCGUCGAAGGUGGGACAAAUGAUUGGGGUG
rnacentral:rRNA from 1 species